rnacentral:rRNA from 1 species
UGCCAGCCGCCGCGGUAAUACGGAGGGUGCAAGCGUUAAUCGGAAUUACUGGGCGUAAAGCGCACGUAGGCGGUUUGUUAAGUCGGAUGUGAAAGCCCCGGGCUCAACCUGGGAAUUGCAUUCGAUACUGGCAAACUAGAGUAUAGAAGAGGCAAGUGGAAUUCCGGGUGUAGCGGUGAAAUGCGUAGAUAUCCGGAGGAACAUCAGUGGCGAAGGCGACUUGCUGGUCUAAUAUUGACGCUGAGGCGCGAAGGCGUGGGUAGCGAACGGGAUUAGAUA